GAGUGACGUCGCCGGUGGGGCGGCCCCGGUCUCGAAAACCGGUGAGGCGUAACAGCUAGGGGUUCGACUCCUCCUCUCUCC
rnacentral:tRNA from 1 species